AACCUAGAUUCUAAGAGCAAAUUAUUUUUAUAUAAUUCGGGAGAGGGCUGACCUAAGGUGGGUUUAUUUUGGAUCGUUGGUCAUGUAAUUCCAGCGACUGGAUAAAUUUGGGAAUUAAGAAAGAAAAAUAAAACCAUGUAAGUCCAGAUAAGGCUAAGAGAAAGAAAGGGGCAAUAAAACGCCCUGGUUCGAGCCGUUCCUGUACCUAUCGCACGCCACCAUCCAGAUCGCGCCGCCGCCUAGGGUUCGAGUCUCAGGUUGCCGCCGUCGCUGGAAUUAGUACUGAUUGCAUCUCCGCCUCGUUCGUGCCUGAGCCGCUAUUCUUCUGUUGCUGCGUCCAUUGAGGGAUUUCAAUUCUCAGGUGGUGGCAUUGAUUAAUCGCGGAUCUUGGUCGACUUCUUGUUGCUUCGUUCUUUUGUUGAAGGCAGGUACUAAGUAAACACCAUGCAUGGGGCCCGGGCGUAGCACAUCUACACUGUUGAGCACAUCACACUUAUUUAGAUAUUACGACGUAGACAUAUAUGUUUCUAUACCUAUUAGUCGUAUUGUAUUAGUCACUUAAUCCAUGUUACCUUGUGAACAAAUAUAUUUGGCGUUUCCUGAUAUGCUGGGAUUUUGUGAAUCACGUGGUUGUUUCUUUAAAGUUGAAAUGUUACUACAUAUCCUCU